GUUUUUUUUGUAAUUAAAAUAAUUUGAGAUGUUUUUCUUAUAUGUCUAGCAUUUGGGUCCAAAUGUUGCAAAUUCUAGUAUUUGAAGAUGAUUCAAUGUUAAGUUAUAUUUUUGAACCGCUAGUGGUUAAGCAUUGUACUUCUAAAAAAUGAUUUACCAAACACCUUAAAUCCGUUGUGACUUCAACCACGCUGGUCCCAGCAGCUGAAUCAAAUGGGGCCUUAAAUGUUUCGUAUUACCAUAGGAUUUAUCAUGUAACAAAGAGACACAUAAUUCAAGGUUGCUGGAGCACCUAUGAGAACAACAUAACACAUGCAAUGCUGCCCAAGUUUUUUAGCCCAUUCCCAUGACGUGAUAGUAGCUAGCUGUUAAUGCAUAAAAUAACGAACUUCACCGCCUCACGAAGGGUAUUAUGCUAUUUCCUUGUACAAAUCAUAACUUUUAACAAGUCCACUAGCACAUUAGCGUAUACAAAAAAUAUAACCGUUAAAAGGAAAGACCAAGAGCAUACCUGCGUACCA
rnacentral:misc_RNA from 1 species